rnacentral:rRNA from 1 species
GACGAACGCUGGCGGCGUGCUUAACACAUGCAAGUCGAACGAAGAGCGAUGGAAGCUUGCUUCUAUCAAUCUUAGUGGCGAACGGGUGAGUAACGCGUAAUCAACCUGCCCUUCAGAGGGGGACAACAGUUGGAAACGACUGCUAAUACCGCAUACGAUCUAAUCUCGGCAUCGAGGAUAGAUGAAAGGUGGCCUCUACAUGUAAGCUAUCACUGAAGGAGGGGAUUGCGUCUGAUUAGCUAGUUGGAGGGGUAACGGCCCACCAAGGCGAUGAUCAGUAGCCGGUCUGAGAGGAUGAACGGCCACAUUGGGACUGAGACACGGCCCAGACUCCUACGGGAGGCAGCAGUGGGGAAUCUUCCGCAAUGGACGAAAGUCUGACGGAGCAACGCCGCGUGAGUGAUGACGGCCUUCGGGUUGGAAAGCUCUGUUAAUCGGGACGAAAGGCCUUCUUGCGAAUAGUGAGAAGGAUUCACGGUACCGGAAUAGAAAGCCACGGCUAACUACGUG